rnacentral:rRNA from 1 species
AGACAGCUAGGAGGUUGGCUUAGAAGCAGCCAUCCUUUAAAGAAAGCGUAAUAGCUCACUAGUCGAGUCGGCCUGCGCGGAAGAUUUACCGGGGCUAAAACCAUAAACCGAAGCUGCGGGUUUACACUUAGGUGUAAGCGGUAGAGGAGCAUUGUGUAGGCUGUAGAAGGUGUGUUGAGAAGCAUGCUGGAGGUAUCACAAGAGCGAAUGCUGACAUAAGUAACGAUAAAGGGGGUGAGAAACCUCCUCGCCGGAAGACCAAGGUUUCCUAUCCCAUGCUAAUCAGGGUAGGGUGAGUCGAAUCCUAAGGAGAGGCCGAAAGGCGUAUUCGAUGGUAAACAGGUUAAUAUUCCUGUACUUGAUAUAAGAGUGAAGUGGGGACGGAGAAGGCUAGAUGUGCUUGGCGAUGGUUGUCCAAGUGAAAGUAAGUAGCUAGGGUGUGCAGGCAAAUCCGCACAUUCGUUAAGGUGAGAUACGAGACGAAUUUAUACUACGGUAUAGAAAAGACAUUGAUGCCCGGCUUCCAAGAAAAGCCACUAAACUUAAUCUUAUAUUAAUUCGUACUGCAAACCGACACAGGUGGUCAGGUAGAAAAUACCGAGGCGCUUGAGAGAACUCAGGUGAAGGAACUAGGCAAAAUGGUGUCGUAACUUCGGGAGAAGGCACGCCGACUUUGGUGAAAGCCCUUGCGGCUGGAGCUGAGGUAGGUCACAGAAACUAGGUCCCUGCAACUGUUUAAUAAAAACAUAGCACUCUGCAAACUUGAAAGAGGAAGUAUAGGGUGUGACGCCUGCCCGGUGCUGGAAGGUUAAAUGAAGGGGUGAGAGCUCUGGAUUGAAGCCCCAGUAAACGGCGGCCGUAACUAUAACGGUCCUAAGGUAGCGAAAUUCCUUGUCGGGUAAGUUCCGACCUGCACGAAUGGCGUAAUGAUGGGGACGCUGUCUCCACCUGAGACUCAGUGAAAUUGAAAUUGCUGUGAAGAUGCAGUGUAUCCGCGGCUAGACGGAAAGACCCCGUGAACCUUUACUAUAGCUUCACAAUGGACUUUGAUGUAAUUUGUGUAGGAUAGCUGGGAGACUAUGAAGUAUUGACGCUAGUUGAUAUGGAGUCGUUGUUGAAAUACCAGCCUGAUUACCUUGGAGUUCUAACCUAUUCCCAUGAACUGGGAAAGGGACCUUGUGUGGUGGGUAGUUUGACUGGGGCGGUCUCCUCCCAAAGAGUAACGGAGGAGCGCAAAGGUACCCUCAGACUGGUCGGAAAUCAGUCGUUGAGUGUAAGAGUAUAAGGGUGCUUGACUGCGAGACGGACAGGUCGAGCAGGAACGAAAGUUGGUUCUAGUGAUCCGGUGGUUCUGCAUGGAAGGGCCAUCGCUCAACGGAUAAAAGGUACUCCGGGGAUAACAGGCUGAUACCGCCCAAGAGUUCACAUCGACGGCGGUGUUUGGCACCUCGAUG